rnacentral:rRNA from 1 species
AACGAACGCUGGCGGCAUGCCUAACACAUGCAAGUCGAACGAGACCUUCGGGUCUAGUGGCGCAGGGGUGCGUAACGCGUGGGAACCUGCCCUUAGGUUCGGAAUAACUCCCCGAAAGGGGUGCUAAUACCGGAUAAUGUCUUCGGACCAAAGAUUUAUCGCCUUUGGAUGGGCCCGCGUUGGAUUAGGUAGUUGGUAGGGUAAAAGCCUACCAAGGCGACGAUCCAUAGCUGGUCUGAGAGGAUGAUCAGCCACACUGGGACUGAGACACGGCCCAGACUCCUACGGGAGGCAGCAGUGGGGAAUAUUGGACAAUGGGCGAAAGCCUGAUCCAGCAAUGCCGCGUGAGUGAUGAAGGCCUUAGGGUUGUAAAGCUCUUUUACCCGGGAUGAUAAUGACAGUACCGGGAGAAUAAGCUCCGGCUAACUCCGUG